CCUACGGGAGGCAGCAGUGGGGAAUAUUGGACAAUGGGCGAAAGCCUGAUCCAGCAAUGCCGCGUGAGUGAUGAAGGCCUUAGGGUUGUAAAGCUCUUUUACCAGGGAUGAUAAUGACAGUACCUGGAGAAUAAGCUCCGGCUAACUCCGUGCCAGCAGCCGCGGUAAUACGGAGGGAGCUAGCGUUGUUCGGAAUUACUGGGCGUAAAGCGUACGUAGGCGGUUAUUCAAGUCAGAGGUGAAAGCCCGGGGCUCAACCCCGGAACUGCCUUUGAAACUAGAUAGCUAGAAUCUUGGAGAGGUUAGUGGAAUUCCGAGUGUAGAGGUGAAAUUCGUAGAUAUUCGGAAGAACACCAGUGGCGAAGGCGACUAACUGGACAAGUAUUGACGCUGAGGUACGAAAGCGUGGGGAGCAAACAGGAUUAGAUACCCUGGUAGUCCACGCCGUAAACGAUGAUAACUAGUUGUUCGGGCACUUGGUGCCUGAGUGACGCGAGCUACGACAUUAAGUUAUACCGUCCGUCGGGUAGGUACGGUCGCGAGAAUUAAACUUAAACGUAAAGUUAGUACGGCGUGAGACGUGCCGAACGGACGACGACGAGGGAGUAGG
rnacentral:rRNA from 1 species